rnacentral:rRNA from 1 species
UACGUAGGGUGCAAGCGUUGUCCGGAAUUAUUGGGCGUAAAGAGCUCGUAGGCGGUUUGUCGCGUCUGCUGUGAAAACGCGAGGCUCAACCUCGCGCCUGCAGUGGGUACGGGCAGACUAGAGUGCGGUAGGGGAGAUUGGAAUUCCUGGUGUAGCGGUGGAAUGCGCAGAUAUCAGGAGGAACACCGAUGGCGAAGGCAGAUCUCUGGGCCGUAACUGACGCUGAGGAGCGAAAGCAUGGGUAGCGAACAGG